UACGUAGAGGGCAAGCGUUAUCCGGAUUUACUGGGUGUAAAGGGGGCGCAGACGGCGAUGCAAGCCAGGAGUGAAAGCCCGGGGCCCAACCCCGGGACUGCUCUUGGAACUGCGUGGCUGGAGUGCAGGAGGGGCAGGCGGAAUUCCUGGUGUAGCGGUGAAAUGCGUAGAUAUCAGGAGGAACACCGGUGGCGAAGGCGGCCUGCUGGACUGCAACUGACGUUGAGGCCCGAAAGCGUGGGGAGCAAACAGG
rnacentral:rRNA from 1 species